rnacentral:rRNA from 1 species
GAUGAACGCUGGCGGCGUGCUUAACACAUGCAAGUCGAACGAGAAAUGUAGACGGAAACCUUCGGGCGGAAGCCUUCAUUUCGAGUGGCGGACGGGUGAGUAACGCGUGGGUAACCUGCCUCAUACAGGGGGAUAACAGUUGGAAACGACUGUUAAUACCGCAUAAGACCACAGCAUCGCAUGAUGCGGGGGUAAAAACUCCGGUGGUAUGAGAUGGACCCGCGUUCGAUUAGCCAGUUGGCGGGGUAACGGCCCACCAAAGCGACGAUCGAUAGCCGAUCUGAGAGGAUGACCCGCCACAUUUGGACUGAGACACGGCCCAAACUCCUACGGGAGGCAGCAGUGGGGAAUAUUGCACAAUGGGGGAAACCCUGAUGCAGCGACGCCGCGUGAGUGAAGAAGUACUUCGGUAUGUAAAGCUCUAUCAGCAGGGAAGAAAAUGACGGUACCUGAGUAAGAAGCCCCGGCUAACUACGUG